ensembl:lncRNA
GAAAAUCCAAACUUUUAACCUUAACUGCCUACUUAACAUUUCCUCAUCAUUGGUUCCCCUCAAUUUGCUCUUCAUAUAGUCUUCCCUGUAUUGGUUAAUUAGCAAUUCCAUGUGUCUAGUUACUAAGACCAAGAACCUUGAAGAAAUCAUUGAAUUUCCCCACUCUGUUUCUUUCAUCCUUCACUCCAUCAGCAAAUUGUGUCAGCUUUGCAAAAUACAUUUCCAGUUCACAUUACUUCUGCUGUGAGAUGCCUGGUCCAUACCACCAUCAUCUAUCUCAUAGAUUAUCUUAAGAGUUCCUAAGUAAUCUCUUCCCAGGUGGCUCAGUGGUAAAGAAUCUGCCUACAAUGAAGAGAUGCGAGUUCAGUCUUUGGCUGUUAAGAUCCCCUGGAGAAGGAAAUGGCAACCUACUCCAGUAUACUUGCCUGAAAAAUCCUAUGGACAGAGGAGCCUGGUGGGUUACAGACCAAAGGGUCACAAAAGAGUCAAACAUGACUUGGCAACUAAACAACAACAAAAUAAUCUCUGUUUGUACCUGUGUACUUUCUCAAUACAGCAGCCAAACUUAACAAUCCAAAACCAAACCUCAUGACCCCCACUCUCUACACACAACACACACACACACACAGAGAGACAAAAUCUGGUCCCACUUCUGAAACGUAUAUCUCCCACUGCUUUCCUCCUUGCUUGUUCUGCUGAGCUUCAUUGACCUGGUAUUUAGAUGGACAUUCCAGGGACUCUUGCUUCAAGUCUUCUUUAUUAGCUCUUUCUCUGUCUGGAGACACUUCUCAGAUAAUUUUUUGGAUCACUUUAUUACCUUAUCAAGUAUAUUUCAAUUGGAGGACAUUCUGUGUGUGUGUGUGUGUGUGUGUGUGUGUGUGUGUGUAUGCGUGUAUGCUCAGUCAUCCAGUUGUGUCUGACUCUUGUGACUCCGUGGACUGUGUAGCCUGCCAAGCUCCUCUGUCCAUGGAAUUGUCUAGGCAAGAAUAUUGGAGUGGGUUGUCAUUUUCUUCUCCAGAGGAUCAUCCUGACCCAGGGAUUGAACCUGUGUCUCCUGCGUCUCCUGCAUUGGCAGGCAGAUUCUUUACCACUGUGCCACCUGGGAAGCCCCUGACCACCUGUUUUGAAAUGUGACCUUCCUAUCCACCUGCUCCCCUUAGGUCCCCCCUCCCCUUCCCCCGCUUUAUUUUUCUUCAUUAUAUUUACAGCUGUAUGGUUUAGUCACUAAGUUGUAUCUGACUCUUGUGACUCCAUGGGCUGUAGCCAGCCAGGCUUCUCUGCCCGUGGGAUUCUCCAGGCAAGAAUGCUGGAGUGGGUUGCCACUUCCUCCUCCACAGCUGUGUGGCAUACUGUAUAGUUUACUUAAUGUUUAGUUUCUUUACUAGAUUGUAUACUCCACGGACACGGAUUUUUGUUCAAUGCUGUAUCUGGCACGUAACAAGCUCUCAGUAAAUGUUAAAUAAAUACACAGACUUGAAUUUUUUAAAUUCCAAAUGCGUCUACAUGAUUAGUAGUCUUACCUAAUGUUUUUGAUGUCCUUACAGAGAUCAUGUUACUUUGUUUUUCAUUCUGUAAUUAUGACUAAUUCAGGGCAAGUAAUUUAAUUUCUCUGGGCUACAGUUUUCUGUAAAGAGGGUUAUACUAAGUGAACUUUAAUCUCCCCUGUAGCUCUAACAUUCUACAAAUUCAUUAAUUAUGUUUUACACCUUUGACCUCACUAAUUCUCCAUUUUCAUUUGCUCUUCAUGACGAGUCGUGGACUCGUACAUUUUACUUGUAGAUAGCACGAUAGUGUUAGACAAGUUCACUCUCUUCAACUCUGACUCCAAUAUUAAUCUUGUCAGAGUAAAUGCAUGUUCAGUAGGGUCAUAGUGGACUAGG